GCAUAUCAAUAAGCGGAGGAAAAGAAACCAACAGGGAUUGCCUCAGUAACGGCGAGUGAAGCGGCAACAGCUCAAAUUUGAAAUCUGGCUCCCCUGGGGGCCCGAGUUGUAAUUUGUAGAGGAUGCUUCGGCGUGGGCCCCGGUCUAAGUUCCUUGGAACAGGACGUCACAGAGGGUGAGAAUCCCGUACGUGGCCGUGGGUGCUCGCCAUGUGAAGCUCCUUCGACGAGUCGAGUUGUUUGGGAAUGCAGCUCUAAAUGGGAGGUAAAUUUCUUCUAAAGCUAAAUACUGGCCAGAGACCGAUAGCGCACAAGUAGAGUGAUCGAAAGAUGAAAAGCACUUUGGAAAGAGAGUCAAAAAGUACGUGAAAUUGUUGAAAGGGAAGCGCUUGCAACCAGACCUGCCUGCGGUUGCUCAUCCGGGCUCCUGCCCGGUGCACUCUUCCGCAGUCAGGCCAGCAUCAGCUCUGGCGGUCGGAUAAAGGCGGCGGGAAUGUGGCUCCCCUCGGGGAGUGUUAUAGCCCGCCGUGCAAUGCGGCCAGCCGGGACUGAGGUCCGCGCUUCGGCUAGGAUGCUGGCGUAAUGGUUGUAAGCGGCCCGUCUUGAAACACGGACCAAGGAGUCUAACAUCUGUGCGAGUGUUUGGGUGUCAAGCCCAGGCGCGUAAUGAAAGUGAACGGAGGCGGGAACCUUCGGGUGCACCGUCGACCGAUCCUGAUGUCUUCGGAUGGAUUUGAGUAAGAGCAUAGCUGUUGGGACCCGAAAGAUGGUGAACUAUGCCUGAAUAGGGUGAAGCCAGAGGAAACUCUGGUGGAGGCUCGCAGCGGUUCUGACGUGCAAAUCGAUCGUCAAAUUUGGGCAUAGGGGCGAAAGACUA
rnacentral:rRNA from 1 species